rnacentral:rRNA from 1 species
CACACGCUGACGCUGACCACCGGAGAGCGCUUUCGGUUUGCGAUCCAGCAAAUGCGCCAGUUGCAGCACUUCCGCCACCUGGUUGACGCGUUGGUUAAUCACCUCUUUUUUUGCGCCAGCCAGUUUCAGGCCAAAUGACAUGUUUUCUGCUACUGACAGGUGGGGAUAGAGCGCGUAAGACUGAAACACCAUACCAACGCCGCGUUCUGCUGGCGGAGUGUCAUUCAUCCGUUUCUCACCGAUGAACAGGUCGCCGCUGGUGAUCGUCUCAAGCCCGGCAAUCAUGCGCAGUAAAGUCGAUUUACCGCAGCCAGACGGUCCGACAAACACCACGAAUUCACCUUCAUGGAUAUCGAGAUUGAUAUCUUUCGAUACCACGACCUCGCCCCAGGCUUUCGUUACAUUUUGCAGCUGUACGCUCGCCAUGCCCUUCUCCCUUUGUAACAACCUGUCAUCGACAGCAACAUUCAUGAUGGGCUGACUAUGCGUCAUCAGGAGAUGGCUUAAAUCCUCCACCCCCUGGCUUUUUUAUGGGGGAGGAGGCGGGAGGAUGAGAACACGGCUUCUGUGAACUAAACCGAGGUC